rnacentral:rRNA from 1 species
ACUCCUGCGGGAGGCAGCAGUGGGGAAUUUUACGCAAUGGGGGAAACCCUGACGUAGCGACACCGCGUGAGCGAAGAAGCCCUUUGGGGUGUAAAGCUCUGUCAGCUGGAACGAAAACAAUGACGGUACCAGCAGAGGAAGCAUCGGCUAACUACGUGCCAGCAGCCGCGGUAAGACGUAGGAUGCGAGCGUUGUCCGGAUUUAUUGGGCGUAAAGAGUUCGUAGGUGGUUUGUUAAGUUUGGUGUUAAAGAUCGGGGCUCAACCCUGGGACUGCACUGAAUACUGGCAGACUCGAGUGUGGUAGAGGCUAGUGGAAUUCCCAGUGUAGCGGUGAAAUGCGUAGAUAUUGGGAAGAACACCGGUGGCGUAGGCGACUAGCUGGGCCAUAACUGACGCUGAGGAACGAAAGCCAGGGGAGCGAAUGGGAUUAGAAACCCGGGUAGUCCCAUGAU